rnacentral:rRNA from 1 species
AAAUUGAAGAGUUUGAUCAUGGCUCAGAUUGAACGCUGGCGGCAGGCCUAACACAUGCAAGUCGAGCGGUAGCACAGAGAGCUUGCUCUCGGGUGACGAGCGGCGGACGGGUGAGUAAUGUCUGGGAAACUGCCUGAUGGAGGGGGAUAACUACUGGAAACGGUAGCUAAUACCGCAUAACGUCGCAAGACCAAAGUGGGGGACCUUCGGGCCUCAUGCCAUCAGAUGUGCCCAGAUGGGAUUAGCUAGUAGGUGGGGUAAUGGCUCACCUAGGCGACGAUCCCUAGCUGGUCUGAGAGGAUGACCAGCCACACUGGAACUGAGACACGGUCCAGACUCCUACGGGAGGCAGCAGUGGGGAAUAUUGCACAAUGGGCGCAAGCCUGAUGCAGCCAUGCCGCGUGUGUGAAGAAGGCCUUCGGGUUGUAAAGCACUUUCAGCGGGGAGGAAGGCGAUAAGGUUAAUAACCUUGUCGAUUGACGUUACCCGCAGAAGAAGCACCGGCUAACUCCGUGCCAGCAGCCGCGGUAAUACGGAGGGUGCAAGCGUUAAUCGGAAUUACUGGGCGUAAAGCGCACGCAGGCGGUCUGUCAAGUCGGAUGUGAAAUCCCCGGGCUCAACCUGGGAACUGCAUUCGAAACUGGCAGGCUAGAGUCUUGUAGAGGGGGGUAGAAUUCCAGGUGUAGCGGUGAAAUGCGUAGAGAUCUGGAGGAAUACCGGUGGCGAAGGCGGCCCCCUGGACAAAGACUGACGCUCAGGUGCGAAAGCGUGGGGAGCAAACAGGAUUAGAUACCCUGGUAGUCCACGCCGUAAACGAUGUCGAUUUGGAGGUUGUGCCCUUGAGGCGUGGCUUCCGGAGCUAACGCGUUAAAUCGACCGCCUGGGGAGUACGGCCGCAAGGUUAAAACUCAAAUGAAUUGACGGGGGCCCGCACAAGCGGUGGAGCAUGUGGUUUAAUUCGAUGCAACGCGAAGAACCUUACCUGGUCUUGACAUCCACAGAACUUAGCAGAGAUGCUUUGGUGCCUUCGGGAACUGUGAGACAGGUGCUGCAUGGCUGUCGUCAGCUCGUGUUGUGAAAUGUUGGGUUAAGUCCCGCAACGAGCGCAACCCUUAUCCUUUGUUGCCAGCGGUUAGGCCGGGAACUCAAAGGAGACUGCCAGUGAUAAACUGGAGGAAGGUGGGGAUGACGUCAAGUCAUCAUGGCCCUUACGACCAGGGCUACACACGUGCUACAAUGGCAUAUACAAAGAGAAGCGACCUCGCGAGAGCAAGCGGACCUCAUAAAGUAUGUCGUAGUCCGGAUUGGAGUCUGCAACUCGACUCCAUGAAGUCGGAAUCGCUAGUAAUCGUAGAUCAGAAUGCUACGGUGAAUACGUUCCCGGGCCUUGUACACACCGCCCGUCACACCAUGGGAGUGGGUUGCAAAAGAAGUAGGUAGCUUAACCUUCGGGAGGGCGCUUACCACUUUGUGAUUCAUGACUGGGGUGAAGUCGUAACAAGGUAACCGUAGGGGAACCUGCGGUUGGAUCACCUCCUUACCUUAAAGAA